CCCGGCCGUCGGUCCCCGUCGUCCCCAUCACGUGCUCGGUGUGCUGCAUUGUGUUCGCGGCGGAGGGAGGAGGGCCGGCCGUGUCAGUGAUCAAUGUCAUGACUUCCUCCCCGGGCCGGAGCGCUGUGGGAGCGGGGCCGGAGGAAGCUCGCCGAUCGCCGGGGAACGAGGCGCGGCCGCGCACCCGCGGACCCGCGCGCGGAGCGGGGGGAAGAUGAGCUCCGGGGACGUCGUUUGCACCGGCUGGCUCAUCAAGUCGCCCCCCGAGAGGAAGCUGAAGCGAUAUAUCUUUUGUGCUUGAAAUGAUCUUCAAAACUCAAUAAAUAAACUCGGUGUGCUGGAAGGUGAGUUAAAGCUGUUUGCCAUUAGAGUAUUCCUAGUGGACUGCAAUGACAUUUGCCUCUUCUCUUUGUUGGGAUUAGUAGCUUGAAUGUUAAAACUGAAUGAAAUUUUGUCUAGCAGAAGAUGCCUGACAUAGCCAGGUUUCAAAUAUACUAUAGCUAGCCAGGGAAAGAGUAAGUUUGUUUAUAUUGCUGCUUUAAGUCCCCUGAGGCUCCCCUUACCGCGGCACUUACCUCGUGGUGGCCCCAGAAAGGCUUUGGUGAAACCCACCAUCCAAGAGCAGGGGACACAACCUGGGGACAAAGAGCCGGGCAGAGCCUGCUUGAAGAUGUCACCACACUGGUCUUUCCAGAGCAGGGAUGAAGAUGGAGAGUCACAGAGAUGCACCCAAGUGAUACGUCCCAGGCACGUUUCUAAGCAAAUGAGUUGCAUGCAGUUUAACAGUGUGAGCUAGGUGGAGAUUUCAACAGUGUCAGCCCUAAUUCUCAUAGUUCAGAACUUACUGUGCACCCACAGGCACGUUUUGGUUUGACUCGGGUUCACUGGAUUUGGAAAUGGAACUUGGAUCUCUAUAUGAUCAUAACGUUGUGGAUUUUAGUUCAGAGGUUGGGGCUUUUUUUGAAGACAGGAAGUGUUUAACACAUCAUCUGUGCUUUGGAAUAAAAGAUACAGAGCAGGGGAAAGCAAACUCAGAUGGAAGACCUUGGCGUAUUGAUGGUUCGGGUAUACAGGAUCAUUUUGUAAUAGGGCAGCCAGCCACUUCUGGCUGCACAUCUGUCUUGCUGCAGUCAGGAUACCUGUUUGGAUUAGAAAAUGGUCAUGCAAAUUUAUUCCACAUCUGGUUCAGUGUCAGAGUUGGGUAGGAUCUUCAUGUGUCCUGGCUGGGACCAGCAAGAAAAGGCAAAUGAUGCUGCAGGGCAACAGCAGCAAGUAGGCACAGUGAUGCAGCGCAACUGAGUCUAGAUUAUUAAGCAAGAAACUUUUCUUUUGCUAAAUAAAUUGCAUCCAUAACGGACAGAAAGGCCAAGUAAGCACUGUCUUUAAUAAGCUGCCAGAAUUGAGCAGGUGUUCAGUCAAACUGGAGCAUUAGAUCUGAAGCUUUCAUUUAAAUUUAUCAGCUUGCACAAAUCUGCUUGAAAAACCUUUCUGUCCUCUCUGAAAGGACUUCAGAUAUAAGUAUUUGGUUGGAGUCCUCAAAAAAAAAGUCCUGAAUAGAAAUGGUGUCUCAUGUUCGUUAGCAAUAUCAGAGCUUACAGAGAAACCAGGAGCCAAAAAAUGCAACAGUCUCAAAUUCUAAAUCAUUAGAACUGCACUUCUGGGCAACGUUUGAAUAACCUGAGCAGCUUCCCCCACAUAUUCCUUACUACUAAGAGCUGCGCCUUACGACUGGUGGUAGCUUCCCUUCAUUAAACAUUGAAACUGAAUAUCAGAGUUGAGCACCAGGCAUCUGUCUUCAGUGGGCUGUCAGCUUUUGCGUCAAUUGGGUCAACAGAGAUCAAGAGCAGAGCUGUGAUUUUAAGCAGCAGUGGGAUGGGGAGGGAUGGGCUCUGCCAUCAUGAGAGCUCUAGGUAGUGCCAGUGAAACUAGGAGGUGUGGUGUGAGAUAUGGGAUCUGCAGUUCUAUUAGCUUGUAACUGGAAACUGAAAACAAUGGAUGUUAAAAUGCAGAGUUUCAGUUGCUUUUGCGUUACGUCUUUCACACAAAAUGUUUCCAUUCAAAGAGAUUAGAGCCAGACAGUUGUAUGGUGAAAAAGCAGUUACACAGAAAUCAAUAAGUUCUUCAAAGGAGUAAACUGCCACCAAAAAGAAAAAAAUUUCACUUUCUAUUUGAGAGAUAAAAUCUGUGCAUGGUGGAGCCUUUUUUGCUUUGUGUGGCAUGAGAUUUGCAUGACUCACAGCCAGAAGCGCAGCGAGGGCCUAAAAGUCAUGCAUGAUACAAAAGGUGCUGGGGAGUUCCCGUUGCAUCUUUGAAAUGGUGAUCCUGUUUGAUGGGGCAGCACCCGCAGUGGGAGGCAGGUGCAGGUCACAUCGCCCUGUUGCGUGAAGUUGCUCAUCCAAAGAGCGUGAGACAAGACAGAGGCUGCCAAACACCUCCUGCUGUAGCCGACAGCCCCAGCGAUUCCAGUUCCUCCAGUAGUGAAAUCCAGCGGCCAGAGAGAUCUCACGCACCUUCCCUGACAACUGCAGCCUUGAGGGAAUUUUAGGGAAGCACUCAUCCACUUCAAAAAUCUCAAAAAAAUCCAUUCUUCGUUUAAAAACUGACCUCUUUGCAUCCCUCUUUCUCUAGGACAUCCUCUUUUGUUGCUUGCUCUUGCUGUGGCUGCUGGGCUCCCUUUGCAGCUAUGCCAUUCGAGCUAGAUUCUGGAAAAAGCAUCUUCAAAACUAAUAGUCCACAGCAGCCAUUGCCAGUUUGCUGUCACGUUGUGCUCCACGUACUACCAGUGGUGUUAGCAGCUGCCUUUUUCCCCUGUGGUUUUCUCACAAACCCCUUAUUCCAGGGAUGUAUAUUCCCAUGGGAAACGGCAGUAAUCCAGGCUUUGUGAUACCGCAGAAUUCUGUCCCACCAGCCACUUUACAGAUAAUGCUGGUGAAAAGACAACCACUACGUUGUCUCAAGAAGCUCCACUUCCAAUGCAAUCUACAGGAAGAUUAUAUACAUAUACACUGACGCAUGAAUUUAAACCAAUAUUAUUAUGCUGAUAAAUUUCUUGCUUAAAUGUUCUUAGGACAAGUGACAUGUUUUUCCUUUAUCUUAAGCCACUUCUAGACAAUAUAAACUAAACCAGGAAAAAUGCUCUUUUUUCUGCUAUCAGUGUUCCCAUGGCACAGCUAUGCCAGCAGAUACAUGACAGCUCGGCUGUGCUAGUAAAACUGCAGAAGAGCCCUUGGAUUCAAACAGUUACGACAAGAGCAGUGGUAAUCCCCACUUCCCAACGUACUAUCUUGACAAAAUUCCUCUUAUUAUCUUCUGUCUUAAGACCACAGUUUCUGUGGAUCUUUUGCCCUUACUGUAUUUACUUGGACUGCAAACAAAGAGAUCCUUGAAUUCCUCCUGUAUUUGUUGUGGUCCCCCUGGAGCCAGCACUGAAGCUACCAAAGGCACUGAGCUUGUCCGAGGGGAAACCCCAGCUUCCAUCUGGGUGGGCCGGUCACAGGGCCAGCUGCUUCUGGGACCCCCAGCGAUGGUGGAUGGAAUGGAGUGGAACCAGCAUUGGCAGCAGGGAUAUUUCACUACGGGACCUUUAGAGUGCCCUUAGCAGAGUCGCUGCUAUGUGCUGGGGAUACAUAGGAAAAUGUUUUUUCCAGAAAACUAUGUGCCAUAAUAAUGAUCUGUUGUAAUUACAUUCUGUACGUGCAGCAUCCAAACAACAAUAAAAAUAUUCCAGAUCUGUAUUCGCUGUAUGUUAAAUAAUACUCUCCAGAGUAUCUGCCAGCUUGCGGACUGUGAGCCAAAGUGGAAGGUUUUGUGUUAGCGGAGGAAAAAUUCAGCAUCGUCCUCUGUUUUACUGUAAGGAUGUUAAGAGCUAUGUUAUUCUGACUCACAUUUAUUGUAGUGAAGUGAAUUUCUGGGACCUUGUACAUGCUUACUGCAGAACGGUUAAAUAGGAAAUAGUGAAAUCUGCCAUGAAUUUUACAUAACUCUUUCUUUCAUAACACACUUGUGCAAUAGAAGAGUUAGAAUGCAAUGCUCUGACCAUAUUUCCUCCAUGCUUGAACACUAGUGGUCAUCUGGAAAAGUAAAUGUUACAUGAAUUCAGUGAAUGUGUGACACGUACUCAGUGAAUUGGCCCAGAGAAGAAAUCCCCUCCAAAGAACCAAAAACUUGUUUUAUUUGCUUGGGUAAGGUGGUUUGUGCCAGGAAGGUACGUGACAAGGCAAAACCAAACUAGUUUGCCACCAUUUGUACUUGGAGAUGGCACUGGUCAGCACCAAGGGUUGCCCCUGCUUUCAGACCCCAUCCCCAGCUUUGUGGGAAUGGCAGCAUCCCAGGAAAGUCAUUGAAGAAGGCUGCAGACCAGCGAACAGAAAUCCUUAAAUGCUGGAAGAACAGCCACCUUCUGCUUGAAGGUCUGCUUCGAGAGCAGCCUGACAGAAUCCCACUGGUGUGAAUCCUCUGAGUGGGGCUCAGCACCCAUAGUUCCAACAUGAGUCGUCUUGUGGCCACAGAAUCCACGGGGCUACUUUGUCCUCUUUACUUUGGUGCAGACAUUAUCAGGCCCAGCUUUCAUCCUUCUGCUUUUGGAGGGGUCUGGAGGGUGAGAGGAGAGGCUGAUGGCUGCUGACAAGGGCUCUGCCAUCACAGAUACCCUUCUGGCCAGCCACAGUGCAGCCCACAUGCAGAGCACCAGCUACGUGCGGUUAUCAUCCUGCUAGCGCCGGGUGGUGCCGCCCCUUCCCAGUACUGCUAUCCAGAUCGUCAUCUCCCUGCAAAAGGACCAGGCAGCUCUGCUCCCCUCUUCUUUUGAAGUGCAUGUCUGACUGUGUCACGCAGCUUGAUGUUCCUUGAUUUGCUCAGCUUUCUGGUCAGUCGUGUCAUAAAUGUCAUCAAUUGCUAAUUUUGUUUGGUUGAAUAAGAAAGACUCCGGCCUUGUACACAUAGUGCUUUUAGUGGGUUGGAUCUUUAGUUCAUAAUUGCUCUUUACUUAAUAUGAUGUUACUGGGAAAGUAGCUUAGGUCUGCAAGCAGCUGCAUUUGGCAUGGGGACCCCAGAGCAGGACAGAGGCAGCAGCUCUCUGCUGUGGCAGUGCAAGGCAGAACUGAAACAUGAGUCUUACACUCAGUGCACCUGUAGCUUUUCACUGCAAAUAAUACUGGGAGUUGUUUUAUUUGUCAGAUCGGAGUGAACACAGAAUCUGCCUCCAAGGAGGACUCUGGGCUUGAUCAAAUGCAAAGUCCUAAUCCAGCUCCAGCUUCCUUUCAAGGCAAUCAGAUUACUCUGCUUGAUUUUAGUGAGAAUUGAAAUAAAUAAAUCAUUGUGUAUGCAUUGCAACUUCAUGACAACCGUACUGCAAUAAUACAAUAAUAGUGUACUGUAUGUACCAUAAUACGUAACUUUAAGUAAUAACAAAGACAUAGAAUAAAAUACAAACAUAUAUGAUGGGUUUCAAAAAUGAGUUCUAACAAUCAGUAAGACCAGAAGCUCUGUAAGUGCAGAACUGCUUUUUUUAUCUAUGGAUCAUUAUUUCCAAGAAACAAGUAACAACUGUAAACACUUCCAAGCAUUCAUCCCUUUGGGUAUAGGGUGUGUUAAACAACAACAAAAAAAUGUUCCUUAUGAGCAGAAAAGAAUUGUUGGCCAGGGGACUUCAGGCAGAAGUGAAUAAUGGCUAACUUAGCAAACAGUCCUGAAGAAGAAAAUUUCAAGUGGUCUUUUUACCUGGUUCAUGGCUAUUCAUCAUUCACCCGAGCCUGUAAAUGAAGUCUUCUUCAUCAAGGGUUAAAGAAGGUUAAAGAAACCAACUGGAAACUUCUUUUUGCAGUAGAAUUCUAAGCAAGAGAUGCAGUUACUGGUAAGAAAACAGCAAAUACAUGCAGAGGUGGAAACCACAAAGCUGGAAGUCAGGCCUCUGCUAAGCUGGGUCAGAUUCUGUGCUUGAUUACACUGCAUGAAUAAAUUAUUGGAAGGCACACAUCAAGCUUUUCAGAAGUGAGAAAAUAAUUAAGAUUUAUUUUUUGCCAAGCAGACCAGAAAUGUGCAGAAGAGCAUGACACCAUUAGUUUGCUGCGUUACUGGUUUAUGGGUGUCUUUUCUGUAAGAAAGUUAAAAAUAUCCUGUUGCUUCCAGGAUAGAUUGUAAGAGAUUUUAAGAUUGCAUAAGUUUUCUAAGUAUCUCAAUCCAUUUUGUUUCCCAUGUCACCUCCUUGAUGAUGGUUUGACCUCGCAAUAAAAAGUAAAACAGUAGGGUUAAUGAAAAUUGGCAGCAGCCAGUCCUUUGUUGAUGUGAGAAUUAAAUAGUGGCACAAGAAUUGCUUCAUUUAAACCAAGAAGCAGAUAGGAAAGCCAUAAAAAAAUAGCAAGGUUGCUUUUUUCUUAGUAUCUGCUGGAACCCAGCUGAUCAAAUGUUACAGCUUUUGGAGCUGCCUGUUGGCAGCAAAGGCUGAGCAAAACUCAUUGUGUUGUAUGCUGUAUAUACCAAGACCAUCAGAAAAAUUCUCCCUUGCCUUCUUUGGAAGCUUUGUCAGUUUCUUCCGUGACUCAAGGGAAGCAGCUCCCUGCGAUUUUGCAGUGGCUUCCAACACAGAAAACAAGACAGUAUUAGCAUGUGAUUCUUCCAGGGCCUUGUAAACCAUUUUAAAAAAUAUUUUCUACUUAGAAAAGGAUUUUGUGUUACCAGUAGUUAAACUUUCCCUCAAGUUCACAUAUGUCUUUGACUCUUACUGCAUCUCUUUGCCUGCCCUUUAAAAGCCUCCUAAAUCCAUCAGCACCACAGCUUUGUUCUCCAAAGGGCCAAUGUUGCAGUCACGUAUGGCUGAAGCACUUCCAUGAAUUUCUGUUUGAGAAUCUGCUUACUUUUGGCCGGUUUGGUACUUCAGCAUCACAAAUCUUCCUUCUCACCAGCAGGUACUUGACCUCCCAGUUGGUUUCAUUUGAAUCGAAUAGUUAGUCUGGGAGGUUGAGGAACCACGUUUGCAACACUCAACCCGGUUCGUUGAACGACUAUGGCACAGUCUUUACUUGAACACCGUGUCCUAGCAAGUCACAUUUACAAACUGCUUCUCUGAAAAACAGGGUGAGAAAGAGUCAUAAGCGAAGGAGAAGAGUAGGAGUAAUCCCGCAUUUGGAUCUAAGUUUGUGUCAAGUGUAGGAUGCAGUUUAAAAUAAGAAGAGAUAAUAGUUGGGGUUCUGUUGUUUCUUUCCACCUCUUUGAAAAGUCAGCUUUGAUAAUAUUCCUUAUGAUACAAUAUAUAUAUAAUAUGAUAAUAUUCCUCUUAAAAAAAAAAAGCAAAUUCCAACGAUGGACUUUUGCUGAAGUGUUUCAUUAGUUAAAAUUAACCUUGAAAGUUUUGACACUAUGUUUUUCGCUCUGCAUUUAUUUCUAUUUUAUUUUUUCUUGUCUGACCAGAAAUGGGUAGCAUGCAAAUGUCUUCUUGUGGUUUAAACAAAUAAGCCAUGAAAUCUAAAAAUGGAAAGCAGUUACUGCUUUCUGUGUACAACCACUGUUUUCAGAUGUCUCUUUUGUGUCUGCUACUGCUUGUGACUAUGGCUCCGUUUUUACUCAAAAAUAAGCAGUUUUCUGCAUCCUUGAAAGGCGAUUCCCACAAUAUCCCUGCCCUGGCAAUCAGCAAGGACCCAGGGAAUGGCAUGAGGAUGGACCUUGCCUUUCCCCGCAGAACAGAGCAGAUUUGUUAUUCAAAAUGUCAACUAAUCUUUGUAGAAAGCUACAAAGGUUUCAAACAGUGCCCAUCCCUGAAUUCCCUUGCCAACACCCAUGGUUUUACAGUUGUGCUUCCUGUGUGUUGCUCUCGGCACUGUUGCAGCAUGUAGCACCCCAGUGACACCACACAAAACCUGUAUUCUCAGCUAGGACCACCCUUCUGUGGACCACGUGCAAGAAUUAUAUCAGCCUUUGCAGGACAAAACUUCCCUCCUCUCUGCAGCUUGGCUUCCAGACUGUAGACAGCACUUUGCAUUGGUACAUUUUUAUGAAAGCAGAAGAAAAAAGUAACUUCAUUUUAUUUUUCCUUUUCCUCUUUAAUGUAUUAGUUCAUUUUUCUCAACUUGGAGCUUUUGGAUCGAGUCGAGCUCUGAGUAUUUUCAGUUAGGAUGAAGCACAUGACUUUAAAGAAUUGUAAGCUAUGUUAGCUUUGCUCCUCCACUCCCUCCGUGCCGUGCUGAGAGAUUCGAUAGAGAGUUUUUGUAGAGAAUAAAUAAAUACUAAUAAAGAACUGAUGACCAUUCUCUUUGUUUUAAAUAUAUGUUAUCCUUUACAUUCAGAGUUGUUAGGCAUUCUUUGCACUUUGAGAAGUCUCCAGGAACUAGUUCAGUCAUUUAUACAAUUAAAAGUUGAGCAUACUUAAGUUGAAACCACUUUGUUCUUCAUUUGUGAUUAAUUGGGUUUCUCACGUUGCACUUCAGCCUUUGGUUUGCAUACUUGAGGAGUAUUUGGUUACUGAGAUCUCCUUUAUAACAAUGUUAAAGAUCAAAAUAUGGUAAAUUUUGACUCUCAGAGAGAGGGAGAAGUUGAAGAUAUCCAGAAUCCUUUCCCAUUACUUAAGAAAGUAGUAUAGUGAUAACUCUAUAAAGAGCUCUCUUAAAAAAAAAAGAAAAAGAAAAAAGGGGGGAAAAAAAGUGGAUUAUGGCUACAGAUGAAGAAAGAUGAACUCACAAAAUUUAUUAGCCUCAAAUGGAUUUACAAAUCAUGUCUGAUGAUAUUCUGGUUGGGUUUGCCUGUUGUUUCAAGGCAGCUGUGCAGGACCUAUCCCGUGGGAAGCAACUCCCACAGAUGGAGCAAGCAUCUGACAGCAUCUGCAUUGAGCUCGACCUGAGCGUCUGCUAGGUGGCUGAGAAUUGUACUGGUUUGUUGUCUUCAUAACUAUAGGUAAAAAAUAAAAGUGUGAUUCAGAGCUUGGCUACAGCUGACCCAUGGGUUGAGCUGCUGUUUGUUUUUGUAAUUUCUAUAGUUACACUGGAAGCACUCUGGGCUUUAGUUAUUUUGACUGCUGAAAUCCAGAAAUAACUAGUUGGAAUAAAAGUGUUAAUAGCCUGAUGACUGUGUGAGUCAUAGCAUAGUGGCCUUUGAGACAAAAGAGAGAUUGCUCUGAGCACAGCAGUGGAUAAAGCCCUUCCUCUGCACAGCCUGACUACAGGUCAGAUUCAAACUUCCUUACUCAAAGCACAAAUAGCUUUUCUGUUUGUACAUCCCAAGCUCCCAUACGCCAAGAUCCCUCUCAAAUCCAAAGAAAAUGAAUGGACCAUUGCAAAGCCUGCAGAGGCAAACCCUGCCUGGUGCUCACUGCUGCACCCCAGGGAGAUGUCUUCUUCUGUCCGGGGAGAAGUCAGGCAUUCCUGUUGGCUUUGCAUGGCCCAUUUGCUACUCAAAGUUGUUGGUCAUCCAACAUUCAACGCUGUGAAAGAUUUCCUCAUCUCACACACGCACUUGUGUAUGGUGCUUGCAUGGCUUUCCACAGUGCCUUGCAUUUAUGCAAGAAGAGGAAAUGUCCACUCAGUUUCAUGACACUAUACCCAGCAUCUAUGUUUCAAACGAAUACUGUGAAAUUGCAUUUUUCAGAAAGAAAAAAAGAAGGUGGUUUAACGGCAGUUGGUUGGAGUCAAGAUUCUCACUUCAUCUUGCCAGGCACUGAGCAGGCUUCAGGUAGUGAAAAUGGUGGGGAGGACUUGAAUGAGUCGGGCUCAAUUCCUCAAAGUAUUUUAGUUUAACUGAAGCUAAAAGACUGUUCCUUAGCUUGCUGUGAAGAGUGUGAGUAUAUUCUGGAGCUGGGAUCUAAAGUGGAAAAGCAAGUGAUUUGGUUAUAAAUGAUUUGGCUUUUUUGGUACCUUCAGGAAACAGGCUGCAUCAAAACACUUUCUGUCAGGUUGAGUUUGGGAGGUUAAAUAGUGUACUUAUCCUUUAGGAUAUAUGGAUAUCAUAUCCUCUGGGAUGCCUCUCAGGAGAGAGGGCCUUUCCUAAUACUUCCAACCAUCCUGAAGCCUCAGGACCAAAAUGCUCUAGGGUGUUUGUUUGUUUGCUCUGCACUCAAACUGCUCUUAUCUCACAUCACUUUUUGUGGGACUCAGCUAGCAAAAAAAGUGUCUGUGAACUUCACGCUUCUGCUUCUAGCUCCUGACACAAUCGCUGCUUCUUGUGCUCUGUAGAUGGAGCAGAUCGUGUCGAGUUUUGUUGUUACUGUGAAGAUACGGUACCAUGGGCACAGUUUCCUGCUCUGUGGCCAAGCCAGGAACUGGGUCAAGCAGCAAAAGCAAAUUGUUGUCUAAGUAUGAGAAGAUGUGUGUCUUUGGGAACGGGGCAUGGGCCAAACUACAGAUCUUUUUUUUUUUGCAGACUUUAGGGCCUUCAAAAGAACACACGUAGAUAUUCAGCAUAAUCUUAACACUUUUGCUGACACCGAGUUUGACUGCUGCCAUAAGAGUACCUUGAUGCUGCUGGAUCACUCAGUGCCGUGGUGCAGGAUGCCCAGUUGAGUUUGUGUCAGGGGACUGAGUGCUUUGUUUGGAAAAGUUAACAAAUCCUGCAGUGCUUCACCAUGGGGAGUGAAACUGUAGGGAAAGGGAGCUGAAGUCUGAAGCAAGUCUGAGCAACAGGUGCUCUGUUUGCGGCUUUGUUUUUCUAGGGUAGCAGAGAGCCUGAGUCUCUGGGGAGCUGAGCUGCAGUGUUUCGAAUUGAUACUUGUGUUGAUUCUUUGGGGAACCCACUGUUGGUUUUGGGCUGGUAAGGCUGCUCUCACACCUACACACGGCGUUACGUUGUACUGCACCACAGGCCGGCUUCACACAUGCUUACCAAGGUGUGAACAAUCAUGUACAUGCCAUUAGUAUGGUCUUUUUCAAUGGCAAAAGUGAUGUUAGGCGUAAUUGCGUAUUGGUCCUUACAUAAAGAGAAAGGUGUGUCUGCAGUCACCAACUCAGGCUCUGCUAACAGGGCAGGAGGGAAAAACCCACGCGUAUGAGAAAUUCAGAAGAAUCUGUCGACGUGAAUUGUUCUCAUGGUACUUGUGAAGAUAUAUGGUGGUUUCUUACCACACAGCGACCAAAAGAAUCGGUCAAAUUGUUGGAAUGAAAGUGCGAUGAGAAGGAUUAAUUACUCAGCCCUCAGAUGCCUUUCAGAUAGUGGGUGAAUAGAUGCUCUGUGCUGUGACAAUCUAUCACUCUGCUUUUGACAUUAGUGACUGGGGGUAGAAAAGGAGCACUGCACGCAGCACCAUUUAUCAUGGGCUGCAUGUUUUCUUCAGACUGUUAGCACUUGUACUUCUAUUUUUAUUUUCAGCUGCUUCCCUUAACUAGUCCGAUCCCCUUGAUAGAGUUUCCCUGUAUACAGCAUUAGUUGAUGAUGAUGAGUGUUAUCACAGAUUUUGAUCACAACUUAAAUGAGAAGGUAAAAAUCUUUACAUUAAAUUAGAAUGUGCUGAUAUAAUUUUUCUUCCAUAGGUACUUCUCAAUUUUUUUUUUCAUCAAAAUACAGUCAUUAGUUGCUGUCUAAUGGUUUACCACUAAAUGCGGUUUUAAGAAAAAAUGUGGCACUUAUUUUUGCAAACGAGGAUGCUCUGCAUCUCUUCACAACUAUCUCAGCCUUCAUGUGGCUUAUAUACAAUUACUCACGUUUUUUAUAUCUACAUUUUUAUAUUAGAGAGUUAGCAUUAUGCAAAGCGUUUACUCCCUCAGCAGGGAUUAUUUGAUGUGAUUUGAAACAAGCUGCAUUUGAAUGAAACUGGAAUUCAGUUAAAAUGCACAAAAGCAUUAAAAAACUUUUAAAAACACUUAAAAUUAAGUAUUUAUGUGAAAUUCCCCACAAAUGAGCUAGAUGGUUUUUAUGCAAAGUGCAGUCCCUCUGUGAUUGCACUUCUUUUCUUUGUCUUAAAAAACAAUUUGAAUACAAAAUUCCAGUUUCUUUGAUGCUAUCUGUUUAGGAAGAAGUAUGUGGAAUGCCCAAAGGAUUCAGAACUGUAGUGCUGGCUGAUAAACUGCAAAGCCCAGAGCAGCUUCCUUCAGCUCUUUAAGAGAACUACUGUGCACUUUAGCCCAAGCCAUGGGCUCGAUGCUCCCUUCCAUGCCAUAUUACAAAAUCAUGUUGUAAAUCACAUAUGUUGACAUUCGUCACUAACUCCUGGAUUCCCUUGAAGCUAAAAACCUAUGAAUGGUGUCCAUACAUAGAAGUGCUAAGUGCAUUGGUCUUAUGUUUUAGUGCUUGCUUGCAACACAAAUGUGACAUAGCUUUGGGAUAGCUGGGCUUUUGCUUGUCUAGAGUAACUGACUCCGUUAUAACUUAACCUCUCUGACACACUCACUGGAGGAAGGCACAGAUACAGCCACUGGCUGUAGGAUGGGAAGAGCCCUCAUCCCAGAAGAGCCCUGUGGGGAGCAGACAGGGCUGUGGCCGCACCAGCCUGCACAUGGCAUCCUCCGCAAGUUGUGCUUGGAGACCGUGGGCCAGAGGAGUGCUAACCUGCUUUUUUCAGCCUAGGAUCCUGCCCACCAGGUGACAGUAUGCUUAGCUGUUCAAAGGGCUAUCCGUAAAAAGCAAAGGUCAUUCCCACUCCAAAUUUCAAAAAGAAUCAGAAGCAGCCAGCUCAGUGAGUCACACAGGGAUACUCUAGUGCACAUGACUUGUGCACAGUGACUUUGCCUCCUGAUGAGUAAAAUACAAGAAACAUCUAAAAGCCUUUGUGUAAAGUACGCAUUUUCUUAAUUUUUGGGGAGGUCCCAGCAUCUCAGCCAAACAAGAAGAAGCCAUCUGGAUUAGGCCAUGCCCUGUCUCUCCCAGUAAUGGCACAGUGUGGGGAUAGGACAGCAAUGGCAUCAUGAGCACUGAAGUUGACUGCUGGCUUUUACUUUACCGGCUCUGGCUGGAGCUGGUUGGCACUUCUUUACCUGGGAGCAACUGGAGCUCUUGCAAGGACCAUUGUGGGCUCCAGUGCACUGGCUGUGUUUGCAGAACUCCUACCCUUCAGUAUUUUUGUCUAGUACAACAGAGCGUUGGAUAAAGACCAUCAAAGAGUACCACACAAGGUCUGCACCAAGUCCUUUUUGGAUUCCCACUGAUGCACAGGUUUACCAGACUGAAGGCAUUAGCUUCCAUCACAGUUCAAAGAGGAGCUCCAGCCUUCCCCUAGGUGCCCCACAGUGCCAGAGCACCAGCACAGCACAGGCCUUGGGCUACUUCACCUCCUCAGCCACAUGCUCAGCUGAACACAUCUGACUUGGCAGUGCUGCUCAUGAAGGCUGCUUUUUAAAGUCAGGGAGGGGUGUAAUGGAAAGAUGCACAAGGGCUGCUAAAGGUGCAAUGAGAGCAGAGCAGCUCUCUGCCUCAGCCGCAGAAGGCUGUGGUAGGGAAAAGCUGGAGGAGGAGGGGAGGCUUGCGCAAUGCAAUUUGCUCACAUCAUCCCAAAGGAUCAAUUUCCAAGCCAUUAUCUACUUUCCCACACGUGCAAGCACAUGUACCUCACUGAUCUGGGAAGGAUUUGUGAGUUACCACCUGAGGAAUAAACAUCCCUGUAGGGACACCAUUUGCUUUAGGGGUUGUUAAUGGCUGCUCAGCCCCACUGCCCCACCAGGGACAGCACACAUUGCUGUCAGCUUAUUUUUCACUGAGGCACAUCCAGUGUCUUUAGGGUCUUUUAAAUCUGUCUUUAGCCCAGACACGUGGCUGAGGCCUUCUCCAUUCCUAAGCCAGCCCGACAGACACAGCUAUCUAGCAAGUCAGACUAGCCCUCCCCAGCACAAUCGCAGGAAGUUAUUCCAAGCCUCAGACAAACCCCAUUUCUAUCUCUGGAAGAGUAAAAGGUCAAAAAACACCAGGCUGUAGCGGUGCCAGCAGCAUUAAUCCCAGCAGCCCCAGCGCAGCUGGAGCAAGCCGUGUCCCCGUGGGACAGGGCUGAGGCAUGGGGCGCUGGGGCCUCGGUCACGGUCGGCCUGGGCCCACAGGAGGCCCUGCAGGGGAAGGGGAGCACAGCCCUUGGGUUGGGGAGCCGGGUCACAGAGGAGCCCAUGUGGUUGCAGGCCCACCCGCCCUGCUGCUGGCUCCCAGCCACCUCCCCACCCGCUGCCGGCAAGAGGCAGCGCAAUUAGCACAAGUCCUGAUUAGCUCCUUCCCUAUGCUCACAGUGUGCUAGCAAAACAGGAGGUUUCUGGGGCUCUAGGUCGUUCUCCAGCAGCGGCUGUGUAGUUCCAAGCUGUCCAGGCUCAGGCAGGCCGUGCUUUGGCCAUAGUUGCAGCAGGGACACAAGGACAUCUCUUGUCGACCCCUACUAUCCUCACAGGCUUUCGGGAAUGGCACCUUCCCUGCUGAAACCCCUUCCCUCCUGUUGCAUUGCUUUCCUUUCUGUUUGGCACUGACAAGAAGACCCCCCAAACACCACAAUGACCUGCCAGGGCCUGGUGAUGCAGUCCCUCUCCCCACACAUCCACACAUUCCUUUUUUGUUUGUCCAUCUUCCCUCAGCUUUCCUGCUCUUCCCAUUCCUGCUUUUCCAAGUUUCUUGCUGGUUUGGGUCUCCUCAAGCUUUCACUUUAGCUUUCCUUUUGCAACCUCUCACUGCCACCUACUUCUGCUUUGCUGCUAGGACAAUAACCUCCGACACCAGCCCUGUUUAAAUGCAGCCCUCAUCUCUCCUCAUGCUGCUGCCUGCAAGCAGCACAGCUGUGUUGCUGCUGAAGGCUGACAGCAAAGGGGGUGGGGGGAACCUUUGGUAGUUGAACCAUUUUGCUUGGAGGAGUGGGAGAGGCCAGGCGAGGCAGAGAGCAUGGCCAUAUGGGCCUGUGGACGAGUUCUGCUGUCAUGCUUCACUAAUCUGGAAGCGGUGGCACCCACAGAACACCAGGAGGUUUUGGUCAUCUGCUGUGUGCUUUGAGCAGAUCCCAGCGUACAAAGUUGUCUCAGCAUUCGUGCUAUUACAUUCUCCUUUGUGGAUCUUUCCUAUGGAGUUAGAUGAAACAAAAAGCACUUAGAAACUGAAAAUGAGGUUAUAUGAUUUCUUAAAUCACAGAGGAACUCUGAGCUCGCCUGAAUUUCACUUCAGAUCCUGUUUAGCAGAGCAGGUUGACAGUGUCAGCAUUAGCAUCAGCCGCUCUUAAGUUCACUUCCUUCUCAAGCACAUGCAAGCACUGCAGACUGCAGACUGCACUGUGCACUUUUGGAUCUGAGAAUUUAAGAAAUUUUGUCUGGGUUAUAUAGAAGAGAACGACUUUAAAAUCAGUAAGAAGACCAACUGGAAAAGCCUCCCCAUCACAGGAGGACAGAGCUGCUGGAGCUGCAGCCAAGUGUGCUUCAGGUGCCUGAUUUUGGGGGCGGGGGGGAGAUGUGUCUGUGACAGUGCUGCUGGCACCUGGACCAGCAGCAAGAGGCGCAAAGGCACAGGCAGCAUCCCCAUCCUGAGAGAUGGCCGGUGGCCUCAUUUUCUGGGCAUAGCUUGACCUGCAUAAAGUCAUGAAAGAGAGGAUAGGGAAGGGAUGAGAAAAGAGAGAGAAGCUGCAGAAAAGCAGAAAUAAACACUGUCGUUUUGAAAAUGACUGUGGAAAAACCCAGCUGGCUCAUUGUCCUCACUUUUGUAACAGUAACACUGAUCCUACUUCACCGUCCCACAAGCACAUUCUCCGUUUAUAGUUUUACUGUUAAAAAAAAAAGGGAGGGAGGGGGUAUGGGUAAGCUGCACACCACUGCUGCCUGCCUCCCAGCUUACCAGUUUCCAUUUGCUAAGGAUUUAGCUUUUGGUGUUUAAAAGAUCAGUGCUCUGACAGGCUGAGCAAUGAUGGAAAGGGAGCUAUUACCCUUCUCCCACAUUGCUCAUACUUGAGAUACUGUUGAGAACAUUAAUUGCACGUUGUUUCUGAUAGAUCAAGCUGAACUUUCAUUUCUGAAAUCUGUUUUCACUCCCAAACUGUUCCACUCUUCGUGGAGUUUGGCAGAGAGCUUCACUCCUGCUGCGCUCACACAGAGUCUACGUUACAAAAUACUGACAACUGCCCGAAUGUAACCCCACAGAGAAGGCACCUGCUCAGGAAAACCGGUCCAUCCUCUGCAAGCUGCAGCAGGGAGGUUGGGACCCUGUCCUGUUAGUGCCAUGCUGAGUUUUGGCUUUCCACACCACAGGGAUGGUCAGGCUGAAGGGCACCGACCUGCUGCCCGUGGCCAGUGCCAGGAACCCUGGGCUCAUGC
rnacentral:lncRNA from 1 species